AAUCAAGCCUCACAGCCGGUUGACUAUCAUUCAAAUACUGAGAAUCCUUGCUUCUGUUAAUAAUGAAAACAAGGUGAACCACAGGAAAAUUGAUUGUUUUUAUCUUUGUGAUUUGGUUUCAAAUGUGAAAAUCUCAACUUGUUAGCUAUCUUAUAUUUUGUGGUAGCGUGCAGGAAAAGAUGGCAGAUGUUGGAUCUUUAUCACUAUUGGUGAAAUCUUUG
rnacentral:misc_RNA from 1 species